GGUCUCGUAGCUCAGUGGUAGAGCACCGGUUUUCAUGGCGAGAGCGAACGUGCGUUACACCGGAGUCUGCAUGUUCGAUUCACGCUGAGACCA